rnacentral:rRNA from 1 species
AGCGUAUACGGUGGAUGCCUAGGCAGUUAGAGGCGAUGAAGGACGUGUAAGUCUGCGAAAAGCUGUGGUGAGCUGACAAAAAGCAUUUGAGCCACAGAUGUCCGAAUGGGGGAACCCACCGCUUCGGCGGUAUCGUUAACUGAAUACAUAGGUUAACGAAGCAAACGAGGGGAACUGAAACAUCUAAGUACCCUUAGGAAAAGAAAUCAACCGAGAUUCCCCAAGUAGCGGCGAGCGAACGGGGAGCAGCCGAGUAAUUAUGAGGUAGUGGAAUGUGUUGGAAAGCACAGCGAUACAGGGUGAUAGCCCCGUACACGAAGCAUCAUAGUUGCCAUAUUAAGUAGGUCGGGACACGUGUUAUCCUGACUGAAGAUGGGGGGACCAUCCUCCAAGGCUAAAUACUCCUAACUGACCGAUAGUGAACUAGUACCGUGAGGGAAAGGCGAAAAGAACCCCUGUGAGGGGAGUGAAAUAGAACCUGAAACCGUAUACGUACAAGCAGUAGGAGCCUGGAUUCUCUUCGGAGAUAGUAGGGUGACUGCGUACCUUUUGUAUAAUGGGUCAGCGACUUAUAUUUAGUAGCAAGGUUAACCGACUAGGGGAGCCGUAGCGAAAGCGAGUGUUAACUGCGCGUUUAGUUGCUAGGUAUAGACCCGAAACCCGGUGAUCUAGCCAUGGGCAGGUUGAAGGUUGAGUAACAUCAACUGGAGGACCGAACCGACUAACGUUGAAAAGUUAGCGGAUGACUUGUGGCUGGGGGUGAAAGGCCAAUCAAACCGGGAGAUAGCUGGUUCUCCCCGAAAUCUAUUUAGGUAGAGCCUCGGACGAACACCAUUGGGGGUAGAGCACUGUUAAGGCUAGGGGGUCAUCCCGACUUACCAACCCUUUGCAAACUCCGAAUACCGAUGAGUGCUAUCCGGGAGACACACGGCGGGUGCUAACGUCCGUCGUGAAGAGGGAAACAACCCAGACCGCCAGCUAAGGUCCCAAAGUCAUAGUUAAGUGGGAAACGAUGUGGAAAGGCCCAGACAGCCAGGAGGUUGGCUUAGAAGCAGCCACCCUUUAAAGAAAGCGUAAUAGCUCACUGGACUAGUGAUCCUGCGCCGAAAAUGUAACGGGGCUAAAGGAUUGUACCGAAGCUAUGGACUCAGUUUACUGAGUGGUAGGAGAGCAUUGUGUUUACCGAUGAAGGCGUACCGAUAAGGAGCGCUGGAGGUCCCACAAGAGCUGAUGCUAGAAUGAGUAGCGAUAAGAAGUGUGAGAAUCACUUCCGCCGAAAAUCUAAGGGUUCCUGGGCCAGGUGACUCCGCCCAGGGUUAGUCGGAUACUAAGGCGAGGCCGAAAGGCGUAGUCGAUGUCCAACAGGUUAAUAUUCCUGUACUUAGUAAUGUUCGCUUGACACGAAGGAGUGACGGAGAAAGGUAGCAAAGCCCACUGUUGGAUAUGUGGGUUUAAGCAAGUAGGUGGGUGUCUUAGGUAAAUCCGGGACGCUAUUAACACCGAGAUGCGAAUACGAGGGCCUAGCCCGAAGUUUGUGAUCCUCUGCUUCCAAGAAAAGCUUCGCGUGGAGAAUAUUAUUAAUCCGUACCGUAAACCGACACAGGUAGAUGAGGAGGGAAUCCUCAGGCGCUUGGGAAAGCUCAAGUUAAGGAACUCUGCAAAUUGGUGCCGUAACUUCGGGAGAAGGCACGCCUUUGUUGGUGACACCGCUUGCCGGUGUAGCUGAUGAAGGCCGCAGUGAAGAGGGGGUAGCGACUGUUUAUCAAAAACAUAGGUCUAUGCGAACACGUAAGUGGAUGUAUAUGGACUGACGCCUGCCCGGUGCUCGAAGGUUAAAAGGAGGGGUUAUCCGUAAGGAGAAGCUCUGAAUUGAAGCCCGAGUAAACGGCGGCCGUAACUAUAACGGUCCUAAGGUAGCGAAAUUCCUUGUCGGGUAAGUUCCGACCUGCACGAAUGGCGUAACGACUUCCCCACUGUCUCAACUGGAGGCCCAGCGAAAUUGGAGUGCGCGUGCAGAUACGCGCUACCCGCAGAAGGACGAAAAGACCCCGUGAACCUUUACUGUAGCUUGGCAUUGGGUUUCGAAUAACAUUGCGUAGGAUAGGUGGGAGUUUUUGAUCUGUGCAUUCCGGUGUACAGGGAGACAACCUUGAAAUACCACCCUUUGUUAUUUGGAAUCCUAACCUACUGUCGUUAUCCGGCAGGGGGACAAUGUCUGGUGGGCAGUUUGACUGGGGCGGUCGCCUCCUAAACGGUAACGGAGGCGCACGAAGGUUCCCUCAGGCCGUAUGGAAACCGGCCGUAGA